rnacentral:rRNA from 1 species
GUCUAUGGCCGUGCCACCCUGAACAAGCCCAAUCCCAUCUGAUCUCGGAAGCUAAGCAGAGUCAGGCCUGGUUAGUACUUGGACGGGAGACCACCUAGAAGACCAGGUGCUAUUGGUG